rnacentral:lncRNA from 1 species
UGAAAUGAAAGAAGUUGAGUGAAUAAUUUGAUAUAAAUUGAAGGACAAUUUUGUCAUUUUACCAAUUAAAAUAUUUUAAAUGUUUUUAUUCUAUUUCAAUGUUGGUCAAAGGACAUUUGUCCAAACUUAUUCUCCAGCUCGGUCAUUUGACCAAAUUUACCAUAAAAUUAUAAGUCUUAGCAUCCACAAUCAUACUUUAAAAUCCUAAUUUUGAUUAAUUAUGUGUUUUUAAAUCAAAAAUAAAAUAUAUCUUUAGAUGAAACUUAAAGAACAUAAACAAAAAGAAAUUCAAUUGGCAAGUGAUCCAGUCAAAUUGUCGAUUGCACCAUAAGCCAUUAGGGGGUAGUAGCACCAUAAAAUCAAUCCCGAAAACCAAUGGAAAUUGAUGAAGUAGAUUUGCCAGUUUCACUAUUUUUGACUCUUGCAACAGCAUCCAAGCUCUCCAAUGUUAUAUAUCUCGAGUUUUAGUAGGAUAACUUCCAGAUGAGGGCUGAUUUAAUCAAUUUAUUUAGCAACACCCUCGAAUUCCAUGGAAAAUGAAAACUUGAACUCUCAUUUGUCAAAAAUUCCAAUUCACGGGAAUUAAUGAUGAUGCAAUCAAACUACGGUUAUUCCCUUAUACACUAGGAGAUGACGCAUGAGAACGGUUUGAUUCCUUACCACAUAAAAGUAUCACCACUUGGGAUGAUUUGGCAAAGAAAUUUUGAAACAAAUAUUUCCUACAUAAGUUGUGGUAGAAAUUCAUAAGUUGGACAAUGGAUCUUCUACAAAUGCUCACAUUGCUGCUUUGCCAAAGUAGUAGAACUGUUUGUAAAAUACAAGCACAUGUGACAAAUGCAAUCAUGAUCAAUUCAGUUUGUGAAAAUUGUGGAGCUAAUCAUGCUACUAAAAAUUGCUUGUUGUUGGCUUUUCUAAAAGAAUAAGCAAACUAUAUCCAGAAUAGUCCAUGCCCAUAGUUUAACCUUUAUUUAAAAAUUUAUAAUCUAGGGUGGAAGCAGCAUAAACUUCAGGUGGUUUGACAAUCAAGAGUGACAAUACAGUUCAAAUAAUUCCCAAUAAGAGGGAAGACCAAGUUUGGGUAAAAUAUUUUAGCAAUAUAUGUAGAGAACCGAUAAACUAAUCCAACAAACUGAGACAAAAUAUCAAAAUCAACAAGCAUCAAUUAGGAAGUUGGAACACAGAUUGGCUGCAACUCUCAGAACAUUCAUUUGGAUCAUUACAAAGUAGUACGAUGACUAAUCCAA